GCAGAUGCGGUUCUCGCCCUCGUCCUCCUCCUGGCUCUCGCCGUCGCCUUCGUCGGCGCCAAGUCCUUGGCCUGCUGUGGCGGCGGAGGUCACCAUGGGGGUCAUGGAGGAGGAGGUCAUGGUGGCGGAGGCAUCGGCGGAGGCUUCGGAGGCGGCGGAGGACUGGGAGGUGGAGGAGGCUUUGGCGGCGGUUUCGGAGGAUAAAACCUGAGGAAGUCACGAAAAGCCGAUCGUCAACGCAUCACGUGACCAACCGAUUUCCGUCCCUCGGCCAAUCCCUUUGGAGGCGUCAUUGCAGAUUAAAGACUUUGAAAAAUC